rnacentral:rRNA from 1 species
CCUACGGGAGGCAGCAGUGGGGAAUAUUGGGCAAUGGACGCAAGUCUGACCCAGCAACGCCGCGUGAAGGAAGAAGGCUUUCGGGUUGUAAACUUCUUUUAAGGGGGAAGAGCAGAAGACGGUACCCCUUGAAUAAGCCACGGCUAACUACGUGCCAGCAGCCGCGGUAAUACGUAGGUGGCAAGCGUUGUCCGGAUUGACUGGGGGUAAAGGGCGUGCAGCCGGAGAGACAAGUCAGAUGUGAAAUCCACGGGCUCAACCCGUGAACUGCAUUUGAAACUGUUUCCCUUGAGUGUCGGAGAGGUAAUCGGAAUUCCUUUUGUAGCGGUGAAAUGCGUAGAUAUAAGGAAGAACACCAGUGGCGAAGGCAGCAUGCCGGCUUCCGACUGACGCUGAAGCACGAAAGCGUGGGGAUCGAACAGGAUUAGAUACCCGGGUAGUC